CCUACGAGAGGCAGCAGUGGGGAAUAUUGCACAAUGGGGGAAACCCUGAUGCAGCAACGCCGCGUGAGUGAAGAAGUAUUUCGGUAUGUAAAGCUCUAUCAGCAGGGAAGAGAAUGACGGUACCUGACUAAGAAGCACCGGCUAACUACGUGCCAGCAGCCGCGGUAAUACGUAGGGGGCGAGCGUUAUACGGAUUUACUGGGUGUACAGGGAGCGUAGACGGGUCUGCAAGUCUGAAGUGAAAGCCCGUGGAUUAACCGCGGAACGGCUUUGGAAACUGUGGAACUUGAGUGCUGGAGAGGCAAGCGGAAUGCCUGGUGUAGCGGUGAAAUGCGUAGAUAUUAGGAGGAACACCAGUGGCGAAGGCGUCUUGCUGGACAGUAACUGACGUUGAGGCUCGAAAGCGUGGGGAGCAAACAGGAUUAGAUACCCGAGUAGUC
rnacentral:rRNA from 1 species